UUCUGACUGACAGUGAUUACGUGUACAUCGUGGGGGGAAUUCUCUUGGCCUUCACCAGUGGUUACUACAGCAGUCUCACCAUGAUGUAUGGACCUAAGUUGGUAGAACCAGAGGUUGCUGGAAUUGCCGGGAUGAUCAUGGCGUUCUGUCUCGUGAUGGGCAUCACAACUGGUGUCAACUUCUCAUUAGCUGUCGCUAGUAUGGCAAUACAGUGACCAUGGAAACAAAAGAUCAGAGAGAUACUGCCGAAAUUAUCAUGUACUGCCCAACGAGAAUCGGGGGUCCAAAUUCAUGCACCAAGAUAGUUCCUGAAUCACCAGGGACCUGGUUUUUCUAUCAUUCACAGCUUAUUGAAGAAAAUGAGAGUAAUAAUAAAUAAAAAUGUGAAGGUCUGAUUGAAAUUUACAGUCCCAACCUUGUUAUUCAAGUACAAGAAAGUUUCUUCAUUUGAUUAAUAUGCAUUAAGCUAUAAAAUUGCAUCGUCACUAAGAACCAGUUUAAAAUGAUAUAAAAUUAAAUGUUUUAUGUCUAAGUAAUUAAAGACGUAGAUAUCUUGCAAAAUCCUUUAACAACAAAAAAAUAAAUAGAACUUGCUUCAUUCAUUCGUAAAAGAAUUUGAUUAAGAGUUCGCCAUAUUUUUUAUCCCUUGUAUGCAAGACAACAAUCUAAAUAAAUUAGUGCUUGUAAAGAAAGAUAACUGGACAAAAGGAAUCAUGAGUAAAAUCCAUCAUGUCAAACAAUGAUUGAUUCAGCUCUAGAGAAAAAGUGGAGAGACCAGAGAAUACUGUAUGGCACAACUGUCCUGUCCCAAAAUCAGUUGUCAAGAUCUCUUCCAUGUAUAUGUGCUAUUAUGAUAUUCUCUAUAGUCAUGCUCAUUUAUUGAGAAACACAACAUUUAUUUUUUAUUUAAGGAAUGAAGCUUAUUUCAACUUAUGUUAUUUGAUAUAACAUAACAUAAAUGCCCCAAGUUUUGUUAUAUCAGAUAACAUAAGUUGAAAUAAGCUUCAUUUCUUAUGAUUUAAUUUCAAUGUAGACAAUGAGACAAGAUUUCCUCCAGAAAUAAGCUUCAAAGUGAGCAUUAUUUUAAAAGUAAUGUCAAGCGGAGUGAUACAUGUUUGACGUAACUCACUGUGACAAAGGCAAGUUAACGUUAUACAAAAUGGAUAAAACCGUUUAACCAAUCAAAUGACGCGUUACAACUGAAAUUAAAUUAUUUAGAAUUAUCUUUCUGUACAAUGCCCUGCUUAUUAAACUCUGAAAACUUGCUAUACAUGUAGGUAUUUAAUGUAGAAAGAUUAAGCCAAACUUUUUGAUUGAUAAAGCCUACCUCCAUUGUGUUAAUGUGUCAGAAGUAUAUCUCAUAAGAAACCUAUAGAGACAGUCUCCCAUAGGAAUAUAAAUGACUGCAUUAUAAUUAUCACUUUUUAUGUUCAUACUGUUUGAGUCUUGGUUUCACUACAUCUUAUAUUAGCUUUGCUAUCUUUAGUUAUUUGUUAGUACCUGAUAGGUUUGUUGGCUUACUUGUUGUCUGAUGGCUGACUAGUAGUGUGUUGGCUGAUUCGUUGUUUUUAAGUAUUGCUUUUUUAGGCAGCUUUAUCAUCACUUCUCUGGCAUUACUGUAUGUUCUGUUUUAUGAGACUAGUACAAGUGUGGUACCCUUUCUGAAAUGUACUUAUUUUUGAUCACCACUUAUAAAGAAUAUCACACAAUUAGAUGUGAUUAAUUAAAAGGCAGUGUUAUUUUAAUACUGCAAUAAUUAGUACACCAGUAGAAGUACUUACUUUAAAUAGACUGAAAUAAAUACAUGCAUGGUAAUUUCUUAGGACAAAAGCAAUGUGUUUAUGUACAGUUUACACUAUUUUCUACAUAUACAUGUAUGUAUAAAGAAGAAAAGUCUCAUCCUUUAGAGAGAUGAUUCCUUUUGUUUUAAUGGGACAAUGACCUGAAUGAAAUGUUAAUUCUAAAAUGUGACUACUAACUUGAACUCGUUUUUGGCUGUGUAUUUAAAUCAUCUUUAAAGUCACAAAAUUCAGACAUUUAAUAGUUUUCUGAAUUUUCAAAUUACUCCUCUUUGUAAAAAAGAUUGAGUCAGAAUAAUAAUAAAUUGUUGACAAUCCAUUGCUUGACACAAGUAUAUCGUAAAAAUCUGCCUCUGAAAUCCAGGGUAAUUACAUGUAAGUCAGCUGAGUUUGAACUGACUUAACUGUAAAUAUUGGUGUUUUAUUCUGAAGUGAAAUGUUAAUGAUUUAUUGUGCCUGUCUUUACUUCUUGUACACAUGCUGUAUCUGUUUCAAUACAUGGAAUUAUUCAGACAUGUUUUGGUCAUUAUUGUAAUCUUUUGUGACCUAAAAUGAAGUUAUAAGAUGAUUCAUGUAGACAUGCUACUACAUGUGCAUGCUUUUUGUUUUUAUUACCCAGUAGAAAGAAAUUGUUCUUUUUAUGUUUUUGUAUUUUUGUAAAGAUAGUAAUUUGUUGCAUUAAAACCUACAUGUAGGUUUUAAGAAGUGCUGAAUUUUAAUUAUUUGGGAUUAAUUCUUAAAUGUCAAACUGUUAUUGUUACCUAAAUGCAUGUACAGUAGCUUAGAAUGAUUCAGUAUAUGGUUAAAUAAAAUCAGGUUUGAAUUAUUAUGAUAAGUACAUGUGGGCAUUACUGUAAUCAUGUCUAGUUUACAAUUAAACAGUCAAAUGAUGUUAAAAAAAAGGAAUUAGUAUAAACACUACUUUAUACAUUUAUAUGUAUUAAAGAAAAAUAGAAUGAUUUCUACACUUUGAUGUAAGGUAUUAGAAUACUGUGAAUGUACUUAAUAUAGUGUAUUUUGCACUGCUUUAUGUCCAGUUAUUCAUGUACAUAUUAAUACACAGUUUGAACAAAUGUUGUUCUCAUGACUAAAGUGCACUAUAAUGUAAUCUGGUUACCCAGUUCUAGAGGAAAGUUGUACUUAAUUUUGAGUGUGCCAACUUAUACAGUUGUUUCUACAUGUAUAUGAAUAUCGGGUGCAUUCAAUAUGAAAAACAUACAGAAUAUUUGUAGAUUAAUGAAAUUAUUAAUUGUUUUAGUCUUUAGUCUAACAGUGGGCAAAUCAGACAAACAAGAAUGCAGAUGUUAAGCUUUAGAUAUAAUAGCUGUAUAUAAAUGUAACUUAUGAUUUGAAACUGCUUCUUUAGAUAAACUUAUUAUAAAAACAUGAAUACAAAGUUCUACAAGGAUAAAACACUUACCGGUACUUCCAGUUCAUUUUAGACUAUUUUGAUCUCCUUUAGAAGAAGAGCUCCACUCACUUCCAGUUCAGGAUGGCUGAAAUCCAAUUUAUCCACAAGUGUAUGAAUAAACAAAACACUGCUCAGAAUGAUUUCCCCAAAAGGAUUUAUGUCAGUGUGUUUAAGUGGUGAAUAGCAAUAGAGACAAAAUGGCGAUUUUUGAAGGAAAAAUUAUCUAGGUGAAGCUUACUAGUUAUAAGUAAUAUUUAAUGCUGUAAAAUGCGUAAAGUAAGAUGAUUUAAAUGAGUUGUAUUCCUAGAGUGUUUGUUAAUUAUAUGACAUGGCAUUGUUUAUUUAGUUGUUGUACAUUGUCUCUUUCUGUUUUACUGUAUCCUUGUCUUAGCACAAUGCCAAAAUUUUGUUCAUUUGGCUUAAUAUUCAUUUGACUCGCUAAUUAUAUUUUUGUUUUAUUCUCAUCUAUCUUCAUGAUCUUUUUGGAAAGAGUUUUCUUUUUUUUCGCAUGAUUUACUGUUGAUUAUUUUCAAAAAUCAAGAAAGUUCUUUAUGAGAUAAAUUAUAUUUCCUCUGCACUGUACAUUAUUAGUUUUCAAAAAUUUCAAUCAUUUUCACAUCAAACUAGUGUUUAUGGUAUUUUCCUUAGAACAUUAUACAUGAUGUAUAAGAAGUUAUAGGCACAGCACAUAGAAUGACGUUGAUGUAUUUGUUGACUCCAUAGAUUUUUGCUUCAUCUACAUUUUGUAACCAUGCAUGUUUUCUUUGACCCAUUUGUAUUUAUGAUUGCUUUUAUUUAUGCCAUGGAUAAACUUUAUAAAUUGUUUUUAAUUGAUGCUCAUCAGUUCUCAGACACUUAUCCUUAGUUCACCCAUAACAGAUAAGAAUUUUACAUUCAAUACACAUAGUGCACUUUCCUUUAUGAAACAAUUGUAAUGUAAAAGUGCUGUUUUAUUUUUUGAGGACAUUUAUUUUAAUUAUCUUUUUGUUUUGAUGUUUUGAAUUGCCUGUUAAUUUUAAUUGACACAUUAAUAAAGGUGACCAACUGAAUUGGUAAGCCUUUUAUGAUUCACAAUUCAUGUAUUGAACUACUGUUGAAGUGACACGUAUCUGCUGUAAGGUUUUUUUUGUUUUUGUUUUGUUUAUUUUGUGUGUACAUGUGUGUGUGAGUAUUCAAUAUUUUCCCUUCAUUACGUAUAUUGUUGUGCUAGGUUUAAUCUUUAAUGUUUUGUCUGUGUUGAAGUAUAGGACAUUCAUGUUUUUUAAAAUAAAAAUUAAAAGAAUGUUA